rnacentral:lncRNA from 1 species
AGGAUUCACAGCUGGGUAAGACCAUUGAUAAACACCCACCCCUGACCCCCAGCAGCCAAGAUAGCACUCUCCAAUGAGAGAAGCAGAGGAAGCCCCAAGCAAAUGUGUAUUUUGACAUGGGCAUGUGGAGGAACCAAGGCCAAUCCACCCACAGAACAGUUUGGCAAAGCUGUUACUGAUAUGGCCCAGACCCAGAUGUGAGAUCUCAGUUGUCCCUGCCGCCAUGCCUUUACUCCACCAUUGUGGACUCUAACCCUCUGAAACUGUAAGACCAAUCAAACACUACCUUUAGCCUGGCCCCUCCCAGGUACUUCUGUCUGCCUCCCCUCUGCAGAUGCUCUCAGGAGGACCAGCUUGUGGAAAGAUCUCAAGAAG